rnacentral:lncRNA from 1 species
UGCUUUACGUGUAUGAUAGCCUUAAAAAAUUGUGAAAAUAAAACUCACCACAACAAAUAAGUAUGUGAAGUAAUAGAUACAUUAAGUAGCUUAAUUUAAUCAUUCCACAACAUAUACAUAUAUGAAAACAUCAUGUUGUACCAUAAGUACAUAAAACUUUUGUCAAUUAUACCUUAAUAAAGCUGGAGAAAAAAGAAAAAGUGAGAAUCUCGGGAAAGAAUUCUCUUGCCUAUGCAAAGUACAUUCAUUCAAAGAACUCAUGCAAGGUCCUACUUUUCUAGAAAAUGUUCUGUGAGCACUCCUGGCUUCAUGGCUCUUUUCCAUAUAGAAGUCCUAAAGUGUUCUAUUACUUGAAUAUUUAUUAACUAACUACUAUGUACCUACAUGAAAAUAAUCCUUUUUUAUUUUCAUGUUCAAUGCUGCAGAUAUAUUUAUAUGACAAUCUACCUCUUGAAUACAAAAAUAAUCCUGUGAACUUACCACCUACUAUCCCCUAAGGGAAGCCCUGAUAUUAAGGAAUCCAGCGAUGAGAGUGGAAAGGAAUUAAAGGGGUUGAAAUGCAGUUUUUGGUGGAAUUCAUUUGGAAAAGAGGGCUCUUAAUACCUGACUUUAAAUGGACCAGCCAACUUAUAGCAGGAUUAUAGCCACCUUAGGAUAAAGAUUAGUACUUGCUCUUCAUUCUAUAUUUGUAUAGAUUUGGUUUACUUGUUUUCCCUUAAUAGUCCACUCACAUAAUAUGCAUAUGUUAGGAAUUCCUACUAUAUGUCAGAUAAUAUGCUAGGUACUACCAAUUAUUAUCAAUAAGCAAGAUCAAUAGGUCCUUGCCAUACUGUGUACAUUUGUGUGUAGAACAAAUACCAAUGUGCAUGUGUAUGUGUUUGCAUAAAUUUUAAAUGUUAGGAUGAGACUGGACUAAGUUAAUUAUUCCAGGCCUCCUCUCCUCUAGUGAGGGCCUUAAAAAAGGAACAACUCUAUAUAUAAACACUAUACAGCAGCAGUCCCCAACCUUUUCAGUACCAGGAACCAGUUUUGUGGAAGACAAUUUUUCCACGAACUGGUGGGGGGCGGGGAGGAUGUCUGGUUUCAGAAUGAAACUGUUCCACCUCAGAUCAUCAGGCAUUAGUUAGAUUCUCACAAGGAGCACACAACCUAGAUCCCUCAUAUGCACAGCACAGUAGGGUUCGUGCUCCUAUGAGAAUCUAAUGCUGCCACUGAUCUGACAGGAGGUGGAGCUCAGGCCAUAAUGCUCACUCACCUGCCACUCACCUCCUGUGGUGUGGCCCAGUUCCUAACAGGCCACAGACAACUACUCGUCUGUGGCCUGGGUUGGGGACUCCUGCUAUACAGGAAGAGCCCUAUCUAUAUAAGUGUUAUAUUCAUAGUCUAUACUAGUGGCUCUCAGUUAUGAAUCCUUAGAUAGAUGGCAAAAGAGAUGCAUAAGAAUCACCCAGAAACUUGGUAAAAAUAGAAAAUUCCAGUCUCCAUACUCAGCAAUUUCAAUUUAGUAGGCUUAGAAUAAAUAUUUAUAAAGCUUCACCUAGAUGAUUCUGUCACUGGUAGAUCUGUGUCCCUAAACAGUGCCUUGAUUGAUUAUUUAAUUGUGCUAUACUUCUUUUAUCAUAGUUAAAGUAUGGCAAAGUAUUGUGGUAUUCAGUACCAGUAGCACAAAAUAGUUUAAUAGUAGCACAAAAUCGUUUAAGAAAAUAAAUAGUUUAAGUAAGUACAUAAACAAUGAUAUUUUAAGAAAAGCUAUGGUUUUUCUUUUUUUUUUUUUUUAUAUGAAUAGUUAAAUUUUUUUUCUUUUUUUUUUUAAUUAAUUUAUUUAUUUUUUAUUGAUCAUUCUUGGGUGUUUCUCGCAGAGGGGGAUUUAGCAGGGUCAUAGGACAAUAGUGGAGGGAAGGUCAGCAGAUAAACAAGUGAACAAAGGUCUCUGGUUUUCCUAGGCAGAGGACCCUGCGGCCUUGGCCUUCCGCAGUGUUUGUGUCCCUGGGUACUUAAGAUUAGGGAGUGGUGAUGACUCUUAACGAGCAUGCUGCCUUCAAGCAUCUGUUUAACAAAGCACAUCUUGCACCGCCCUUAAUCCAUUUAACCCUGAGUGGACACAGCACAUGUUUCAGAGAGCACAGGGUUGGGGAUAAGGUCACAGAUCAACAGGAUCCCAAGGCAGAAGAAUUUUUCUUAGUACAGAACAAAAUGAAAAGUCUCCCAUGUCUACUUCUAUCCACACAGACCCGGCAACCAUCCGAUUUCUCAAUUUUUUCCCCACCCUUCCCGCCUUUCUAUUCCACAAAACCGCCAUUGUCAUCAUGGCCCAUCCCCAGUGAGCCGCUGGGCACACCUCCCAGACGGGGUCGUGGCCGGGCAGAGGGGCUCCUCACUUCCCAGUAGGGGCGGCCGGGCAGAAGCGCCCCUCACCUCCCGGAUGGGGCGGCUGGCCGGGCGGGGGGCUGACCCCCCCACCACCCUCCCGGACGGGGCGGCUGGCCAGGCAGAGGGGCUCCUCACUUCCCAGUAGGGGCGGCCGGGCAGAGGCACCCCUCACCUCCUGGAUAGGGCGGCUGGCUGGGCGGGGGGCUGUCCCCCCCACCUCCCUCCCGGACGGGGCGGCUGGCCGGGCAGAGGGGUCCUCACUUCCCAGUAGGGGCGGCCGGGCAGAGGCGCCCCUCACCUCCCGGACGGGGCGGCCGGCCGGAAGGGGGGCUGACCCCCCCCACCUCCCUCCCGGACGGGGCGGCUGGCCGACCCCCCCCCCCCCGCCUCCCUCCCGGACGGGGCGGCUGGCCGGGCAGAGGGGCUCCUCACUUUCCAGUAGGGGCGGCCGGGCAGAGGCGCCCCUCACCUCCCGGACGGGGCGACUGGCCAGGCGGGGGGCUGAUCCCCCCACCUCCCUCCCGGACGGGGCGGCUGGCCAGGCGGGGGGCUGACCCCCCCCACCUCCCUCCCGGACGGGGCGGCUGGCCGGGCAGGGGGCUGACCCCCCCUCCCCCCUCCCGGACGGGGCGGCUGGCCGGGCGGGGGGCUGACCCCCCCACCUCCCUCCCGGAUGGGGCGGCUGGCCAGGCGGGGGGCUGAUCCCCCCACCUCCCUCCCAGACGGGGCGGCUGGCCGGGCGGGGGGCUGACCCCCCACCUCCCUCCCGGACUGGGCGGCUGGCCGGGCGGGGGGCUGACCCCCCCACCUCCCUCCUGGACGGGGCGUCUGGCCGGGCAGAGGGGCUCCUCACUUCCCAGUAGGGGCGGCCGGGCAGAGGAGCCCCUCACCUCCCGGACGGGGCGGCUGGCCGGGCGGGGGGCUGACCCCCCC